UAUCAUAAUCGUACUAUAUAUUUACUCGCACUACCAAUCUUCGAUUUCAAAGCCCUAAUAUUCAGUCCUCUCGCCUCUGCGCUUUGUCACCUACAGAUCGGAUUCGAGGGAAAAUGAGCAGCCGUGCCAGCAGAACAGUCUAUGUUGGCAAUCUCCCGGGUGAUAUACGUGAAAAAGAAGUGGAAGAUUUAUUUUACAAGUAUGGUCGCAUAGCCCACAUUGAUCUCAAGGUUCCACCAAGGCCUCCUGGUUAUGCAUUUGUUGAGUUCGAAGAUGCAGAAGAUGCUCAAGAUGCAAUUCGUGGUCGCGAUGGCUAUGAUUUUGAUGGCCAUAGGUUGCGCGUGGAACUUGCUCAUGGUGGUCGUGGUCAUUCAUCAUCUAGUGAUCGUUAUAGUAGUCAUGGAAGCAGCCGAGGUGGGCGUGGAGUAUCUCGACGUUCUGACUUUCGUGUAUUAGUCACAGGAUUACCUUCUUCUGCUUCGUGGCAAGACUUAAAGGAUCACAUGCGGAGAGCUGGGGAUGUUUGUUUCUCCCAAGUGUUCCGUGAUGGUAGUGGAACCACAGGGAUUGUGGAUUACACCAACUAUGAUGACAUGAAAUAUGCAAUUAAAAAACUGGAUGACUCUGAGUUCCGUAAUGCAUUUUCCCGGUCUUAUGUUCGUGUGAGGGAAUAUGAUUCAAAGAGAGAUUCAUCCAAGAGUCCUAGUCGUGGGCGGUCAUACUCUAGAGGGCGGAGUUAUAGUCGCAGUCGUAGUAGAGGUCGAAGUAGGAGCAAGAGUCGCAGUAGGAGCAAGUCUCCUAAGGGUAAAUCUUCCCAGCGGUCACCUGUAAAAUCCCGAUCAAGGUCUGCUUCCCCUGCUCGUUCACGAUCAAAGUCAUCAGCUCUUUCAGGGAUUUGUUUUUUGCACCCGUCUAGCAUUGGGCAGAAUGUUAGACUGGGUCAAAUAGACAACAUUAAUGUACUGAAAGUGAACUAAUUCUUUUGUAUUGCUCAAGCACGGGCCAGCAAGUGGUUUUAAGUUUAGCAAUGGAUUUGAUAUUACCUUUCUGGAUGCUAUGUGUUUGCAUGCGGUAUUGUGGCUUGUACAAUUCUCUUGAAUGUGAAACCCACCCUUCCCAAGUCUUGGAUGCAUUCUUGGAAUGGUGGAGAUGAAUACUGGACAGACUUCAAAUUAGUCUGGGCAAUGUGUCGGCCCUCUAUUGGAAUGUUGGGUAAACUUUAUCUAUUUGACUCAAUUUAGUUAUUACUAUUUUACAUCUGAUUCUGCUUUCUUUUUAAUAACUCUUCGUCCUCGUCCUUCCCCUUUAUCAAUUGUGAAUGUUGUUCAACAGCUGGGAUAGUUAAGAAAUGAGUCGAAUUUCUUUCAUUGUUGUCCUCUUUGUGUGUGAAAAUCACUUGUUUGUUUUUUAGAUAUGGAAAUAUGCGGCAUACUGGGGAUUGGAUAUUAGGAUCUUGAUGGAAUAUGAUUCAAUUGUCUUCAAUGCUUUUGGUUGAGAAGAUUUGGAUCCAAGAAGAUCAUGGAUUGCAAUAAUAGAGCUGGAUAUCUUGAACUAAGUGCUAUUUGGACUUGGAAGUCAUCAUCACUUUCAUUUACAUUUUCUGCUGCAAGAUUUGCCAAGCUAUAGGACGCACUAUCUGGAUUCAUAAUGGACCUUUUGAGGCACAGUAGGGAAGAAUGCUCCUCUCCCGUCCACUGACGUCCAUAAUAUAUAGUUUCCUGGAGAAUAAAGUUUUCUAAUUUUUUAGGUCUUCGCAGUUGGAUCUUUAAGUUUUGAAUUGCCAUAUCUUCUUCAUAGUUGAACUACUAAAAUACUAUUUUCCUUUCUCUCCUUAUACAAUGUGGAUGAGUCGUUAGGCUUUUGGCUCAAUUUGGUAAAAGAGACAUGGAUUUUAAAUUUCGGUUGUUUCUGAACCUUUUGCAGAUCGCGAUCAAGAUCCAGGUCUCCGGCACCUAAUCGUGAGAAACGUACUAGUAAAAGUC